UGUGGGAGCGAGCUUGCUCGCGAUGGCGUCGGACCAGCCAGCAUCGAUGUUGACUGAUACGCCGCUAUCGCGAGCAAGCUCGCUCCCACA
rnacentral:misc_RNA from 1 species